GACGAACGCUGGCGGCGUGCUUAACACAUGCAAGUCGAACGGAAAGGCCCCUUUGGGGGUACUCGAGUGGCGAACGGGUGAGUAACACGUGAGUAACCUGCCCUUGACUUCGGGAUAACUUCAGGAAACUGGGGCUAAUACCGGAUAGGAAUCCUUGCUGCAUGGUGGGGGUUGGAAAGCUUCGGCGGUUUUGGAUGGACUCGCGGCUUAUCAGCUUGUUGGUGGGGUAGUGGCUUACCAAGGCUUUGACGGGUAGCCGGCCUGAGAGGGCGACCGGCCAUUUAGACUCUGAGGUGAGGCAGCAGCUCGGACGGGGGCGAGAAGGGGGAAAUCUUGACGGAGGGGCGGAGGCUGAGUGAGGAAGGGCGGCGGGGGGGAAAACGGCGUUGGGAUGGAAGACCAAAUUCGGAAGGGGCGAUGCUGGUGUUGACGGUACCUAAAGAGAAAGCCCCGGCUAACUACGUG
rnacentral:rRNA from 1 species